rnacentral:rRNA from 1 species
AUGCUUGUAGAUCAUGAAAAGAAUGCUUUAUGUGAUGGUUAUAUUGUUGAAUUCAUUCAUGAUGCUACUGAAAAUUAUUAUGAGGGAGGAACAUAUGCUUGGAGGAAUUGCAAUAAUAUCAAGUUUCCUCUCUAUGUGCUUAAAGUUUUAAAGUUAUGCUUGUUUUGCCUUCCUAUGCUAGUUGAUUAUUGUUCCCAUAAGUUGUUUGCUCACAAAAUCCCUAUGCAUAGGAAGUGGGUUAGACUUAAAUGUGCUAGUAAUAUUCUUCAUGAUGCUCUCUUUAUGUUUCAAUUCUCGUCUUUUAUGUGA